AGUUCCAAUGGGCUGUCUCUUCUCCUUUCUCCUCCUCUCAAGAAAGAAACAGAGUCUUCUAGACCCCUUCCAAAUUCCUCGCCGCCGCCGGGAUCUCGCGUCACCGCUCUCCUCCGCUGCCUCCCGAACUUCCCUCGCUCUGGAUCCGAGCCAAGCCUCGCCGCCAAGUCCCUUGCCGCCGCCUGUGUCCUAUGUCCCCACGGCAGCCGCCGCCGCAUCGGCCCCCUUGCUCGAUGCAUCGGCUCGGCUCCAGUGCAUGACCCAGGGUCGCAUGGUGGGCUGGGCGAGCCUGCCGGCCUGCCCCGCAGCCCCCUCGCCAACAUGGGCCCAGCCGCCCCUCCUCGCCUCGCGAGGUAGCUGGAGAAGAAGCUGUCGGAUCGGAGGCUACCGCAGGACAAGAUCAUCAGCUACUGUUGUGUCUGCUUGUUGAAGAAGGGUGUGCCGGCAGGAGGAGGCACUGUUGAGAGUGCUCGAUCUGCAACAGGGCGAGCUUGGGUUGCACCGCAGACCUGGGCACGCAAGAUAUCGGAGACUGAGAGGAUAGUGCAGUAUAUAUUCUUUGUUCUCUGUUCGGAGCCUGACCACUCAUUCCAUUUUAUGAAGGCUCUGGUUCUCAACCUCCAACAUGAUUCCCUUUCUUCCGUGCCUCCAAUGGAGGCUACCAGCGGCAAGAACGCCACGAGUCAUCCUGGCAUUGCAGAUGCAGAGCUUUCCAGGGGCGACCUAUUUGUUCCCGGCCACGCCGAUGUCAACUACCUUGAUCCACUGUGACUGUCCCCAACCACGCUCAACUCCCUGUAAGUCAUGUUUUUCUCCUACCAGAUCAAAAAAAUUGUCAAGUUUUUGGAGUACAGUUGUGUGCCCGAUCCGUUCAUGAUUGAAAUUGUGGUCUCCUAAACAUGUGAUUUGUGAAAUUUUUAGCAACGAAUUGUUUGUGGAUCUGCAAAGUACGUUGUCAACAGUGGAUUCAGACUUCCUAUUUAAUUUUUUGCAGAAACCUGUACCAUCCCCUCAGGUCAAUAUUCAUACCCUUUUUCAUUGUCACAUUUGUCAGAUUUUUGUACUUGGGAUGAUUUGGUGCAAGGUAUAGAGGAGCAUGAUCAUGGCUAAAUAUAUUUGUAAGUAGAGAAGUUCUUGAGUCACACACUAAAGGAACAGAGAUAAGCUUUUUCUCUUUGUUGUAUCAAGUAAUUUACUUCCCAGUCCGCUAUAUAUUAUUGUGUACUGAACGCAAUCUGAAAUAACCUCUUUUACAAAAAAAUGCAUACCUGUGUGGUUGUGUGAGAUCUAUUUGGAAGUGCUAAUUGAUGAAAUGUAUGUAGCAUUAGUAAUAACCUUCUGAUGUGUGGUCACAUAUGUGAUAAUUAGUGAAAUGUUGCUUUAGAUAGUUUUUUCAUGACUUCAACAUGUGCCUUCCAUAUCCUUGAUCAUGUGAGUUCAUAUAUCAGUUUUUAACUUCUGCAAGUAAAUUUUGAUGCUGUGCAAGUUAUAUAUGAUUGGAAUCACAGGGAAAACUGUGUGAUUCUUUUCUUUCAUGAUAGUAGACUCUUAAACCUACAUGAACCAGCAUAAUUGUUGUAAACAUUAUUUAAAAACGUAUAUCUUCAUUUAUCUUAAUUAGUUUAGAUACAUGGCGGGGGAAAUUCUACUCGAAGCUCAUUGCGUCAGAUAGUCAACCAAAAGCACCACAUCGUGGGCUGGCCCACCAUGGCCGGAGAUGAGAAUGAUCGCUCAAAGUGGAGUCGGAGACGACGCGACAAAUCAUAUUUCGGUGUUUUUAGGUGAGAAGAUAGAUGAAGUGAGGGCUCAAGAGCUAAUAUUUCCGCGCUGAUGUUUUGAACAAACAAGAAAAAGAAGGAUACACUAUGCUUGACAAACGAUUCCAUGACCUGAUAGAUGCCUAUGGUGAUGGAAGAGGAGAUGUGAACAUGUUGGCCCCAUUGGAUUGAAGCCGGAGGAUGAAGUAACUUGUUGCCAUACAUCCAUUGCACAUACUCUUGGGGAUAUAUAAUGAGAUUGUGGUGUUGUCGUUCUUUCAUUAUCGAUAUUAAGGUUAGUCCAAAGUGAUAUGCUUAAUGUGUCACCAUUUCUAGCGGAAAAUGAUGUGUGCUUGAGGUCGAGCACAUGUCAAGUGAGGUGGAACAAAGACAUAGACAGAUUUGGAGUUAGGUGUCAUCACAAAUUCACUAUUGCCAGAUAUGUGGACUUGUUAGCUAUUGCCAAAUGCUCUUCGUCCCUAGCGGACACCUCGAUAUAGGACUUAGCGGACAAAGGGAAAGCCGAGUAGGAAGAACAAGUCCUCUUCCAAGGUGAAAAUGGAAGCCAGUAUGUUUGAUUGUUCCCAAUGUGUACCGAUCAAAUAUUCAAAUGUAUAACAUCAUUUUGAUCAAUGUCUCCUACAUUAUUUCGUUGUCCCCUAGCAUUGCACUCAUGCCUUCUUUUUGAUUCCGUAGCAUAGCACGUGCAUCUUACUAGUCAUGAUAAGACCUUGACUUAGAGCUUCUUUCUUUGUUUCUACUCUUGUAGAAUUUGUUGAAGUUCUUCACCA